GAGGGACACGAUUCGUCAUUGCGAGCGCCGCGACGAAGCCGUCCAGUGUGUCUGGAUUGCUUCGCGCCUCUCGCAAUGACGAUCGAGGCUGCUAGCGCACCUGGUCCGACGCGCUGGCCGACUUGUCGAACUGGCGGCCGGGUUUACCNUCGGCCGGUUUCGCCGGAGACGCGCCAGUCGCUGGCCUUGACGGCAUCGCCGACGGCGAACUUCUGGAAGCCUUCGACCACGACACGCUGGCCGGGCUUGAGGCCUUCGGUAAUCAGCCACUGGCCGUCAACAAUGCCACCGGUGCGGACCGGCUGGGCGACAAUGCGGCUGGC
rnacentral:misc_RNA from 1 species